UCUACGCCGUAAACGAUGCGCACUAGGUCUGAGGCUCUCUGACGAGUCUCGUGCCGAAGCAAAAGUGAUAAGUGCGCCGCCUGGGGAGUACGGCCGCAAGGCUAAAACUCAAAGGAAUUGACGGGGGCUCACACAAGCGGUGGAGCAUGUGGCUUAAUUCGAAGCAACGCGAAGAACCUUACCUGGGUUAGACAUGCACGGAUUAACCCUCCGAAAGGAGGUCUACGCCCUUCGGGGUGGAACGUGCGCAGGUGCUGCAUGGCUGUCGUCAGCUCGUGCUGUGAAGUGUCGGGUUAAGUCCCUUAACGAGCGAAACCCUUGUCGCUAGUUGCCAGCGGGUCAUGCCGGGGACUCUAGCGAGACUGCCGGUGU
rnacentral:rRNA from 1 species